rnacentral:rRNA from 1 species
GACGAACGCUGGCGGCGUGCUUAACACAUGCAAGUCGAACGGUAAGGCCCUUCGGGGUACACGAGUGGCGAACGGGUGAGUAACACGUGGGUGAUCUGCCCUGCACUUCGGGAUAAGCCUGGGAAGCUGGGUCUAAUACCGGAUAGGACCACUGCCUGCAUGGGUGGUGGUGGAAAGCUUUUGCGGUGUGGGAUGGGCCCGCGGCCUAUCAGCUUGUUGGUGGGGUGAUGGCCUACCAAGGCGACGACGGGUAGCCGGCCUGAGAGGGUGACCGGCCACGCUGGGACUGGGAUGCGGCCCAGACUCCUACGGGAGGCAGCAGUGGGGAAUAUUGCACAAUGGGCGCAAGCCUGAUGCAGCGACGCCGCGUGAGGGAUGACGGCCUUCGGGUUGUAAACCUCUUUCAGCACCGACGAAGCGCAAGUGACGGUAGGUGCAGAAGAAGGACCGGCCAACUACGUGCCAGCCGCCGCCGUAA